GAGGGUAUAGCUCAAGAGGUAGAGCAUAUGCUUAGCAUGCACAAGGUCCUGGGUUCAAUCCCCAGUACCUCCU
rnacentral:tRNA from 1 species